CCUCGUCUCUCCCAAAUCACUGCCACCAAUGCCUCGUCUCCCUCCUCUGACCCGCCUCGUCUCCCUUGCGCCGACCCUCCCCCUCCCCUCCUCCCACCUCACAGCUUCGGAGGCUGCCGGAUCCGCCACAUCCUCACCCAACCGUCCCUCUCGCUUCCCAUCCCACUCUCUUCACGCAGCUCCUCGCCGCGCUACCUGCGGCGGCUGCAUCAGGUGAUGUCCGGCGAAUCCCGCCAGCGCCAAGCACAGCCUGAGGUCCCUUUGCUCCGUGGAGCCCUCCCAUCUAGCUAGAUCGAGUGCUUGCUGCCACCAAAGCCCACCCGCAACUCAUCCCCCAUGGCUAGGGUUUCGGGCGUCGAUCCGGUGCCGGUGGCCAUGUCGUCCUCGUCUCAUCCGACGUGCGGGGAGGAAUGGGCAGUGGACAACCUUGCUGCGGCUCGGGAUGAAGCAGCCACGAGCUUCCUCCUCCUCCGGCUUCAGGCUAAUUACUAAAUCAAUCUAACGAUGGUUCAUGUGGCAGUGGAGGUUUACCAACGGUAGUUUGAAGCAGAUUAGGCGACGGCGGGAUCUUCGGCGGCGAGGCCGUCCAGUGAAGGAAAUGGCGGUCUGGCGAUUUGUGUUCUAUUCUCCAUCCUUUAAGCUCAUAACAGAAGAAAGAACUAUACAAUCACUAUUGUUUUAUUAAGAAAAAAACCUAUCAUGUACGGAUGUUUUGAUGAGUACUCCUCUUGACUCGAUUGUGUUGUAGGGAGUGAAAGCAUCCAGUUGCGGUGGUCUGCAGCUCUGGUCGCCUCCAGCAGCACCACAUAAUCAAAGUUCCAAAUAGUAGUGUUGGACUGCUGCCUCCAGCCAACCAUAACAUAAUCAUUGGAUUUGCUUGUUAUGUAGAAGAUUUGAGUGAUCUGCACGCACCAACUAGAUGUAGGGGGACACCAUGGAAGGCUAUGUCGUAUAUUGUGGCGUCUGGAUUAGUUGUCAAUGAUCACUAACACUCAUGCCGGUAUAUUUCCAGAAUCAUAACAAGGACGUAGUUCUUGCUACAGUUCUAAGUUAUGAUCCUGAAUUUAAACUUAAUGGUGCUGAAAUUCAAAUGCAUUUUGGGCAGUGUAAUACAAAACUUGCGAAAACUGAAGAUUUGGUACAGAGUCGCAAAAACUGCAAUACUAAUGAUUGAAAAGAUAUAUGGAUGAUUAUAUGGGUGCGUAACAAGUAUACUGCAAUGAUGAUGAUGACGACGACGACGAUGAUAUUCUGGUUCAUGAUGAUGAUGAUGGAUGCUUUCAAUUUUAGUUAAGUUGUGGAAUGUUCCUGUUGGACGAUGUUCCUCAGUUAGUUUUAGUCAAGUUGUAGGGAUAUUGAGGAUGAUUUUAGUAUAGAUUUUGCUGUCAAGAAAAUUUUAGAUUAUGCAUCACAUUUGGAUGAUGUUCCUCCUGUAAUAUCCAUUAUUGUAAUCCAACAGUUUUAUCUGAUAUAUGAUUUCUUCCUCUUGUGAGUA